rnacentral:rRNA from 1 species
GAUGAACGCUGGCGGCGUGCCUAAUACAUGCAAGUCGAGCGAACAGAUGAGGAGCUUGCUCCUCUGACGUUAGCGGCGGACGGGUGAGUAACACGUGGAUAACCUACCUAUAAGACUGGGAUAACUUCGGGAAACCGGAGCUAAUACCGGAUAAUAUAUUGAACCGCAUGGUUCAAUAGUGAAAGACGGUGUUGCUGUCACUUAUAGAUGGAUCCGCGCCGCAUUAGCUAGUUGGUAAGGUAACGGCUUACCAAGGCAACGAUGCGUAGCCGACCUGAGAGGGUGAUCGGCCACACUGGAACUGAGACACGGUCCAGACUCCUACGGGAGGCAGCAGUAGGGAAUCUUCCGCAAUGGGCGAAAGCCUGACGGAGCAACGCCGCGUGAGUGAUGAAGGUCUUCGGAUCGUAAAACUCUGUUAUUAGGGAAGAACAAAUGUGUAAGUAACUAUGCACGUCUUGACGGUACCUAAUCAGAAAGCCACGGCUAACUACGUG